CGGCUGGGAGGUCCCCUCUCUCCUUUUAGCGUCUCCCGGUGUCCCCUCCACCCCAUCGCUUUUCCAGCCUGCAGAAGACAGCUUGGACUAGACUGAACCGCCUCUGUCAGCCGUAGUCAGCUAGGCUGCCAGCCACAGGGGACGCUUGGGGACCGGACCAGGGGAACUUGCAGUGCAGGUGCCUGAAGUCCGAAGUGUAGGAUCCCCUGGAGCUGGAGUUACUGGAGGCUGUGACCCAAAUGAAGUGGGUCCUGGAAAUCAAACUCCAAUCCUCUGCACCAGAAGCAAGCACUCAACCGCUGAGCCAUCUCUCCAGCCUCUUACCUUUCUGUAUUUAUCAUGUGCAUGGAGGUCAGAGGACAACUUGCCGGAGUUGGCUUGUCCUUACAUCAUGUACAACUGGAGCCAAAACUCAUGGUUUGGUGUCAAUCCCUUCACCUAGUGAAGCCAGCUCCCCAGCCCCAAAAGUCAGCUUUCUGCUUUAUGGGACUUUGUUUGGAAGACAUGAGAAUCCAGCUGGAGGAAAGAUGGUCUUUGAUGUUUAUUGUCAGCUGCAUCUAGAUUCACCGAAGACACAACCUCUGAGCUUGGCUGUGGGAGUUACAUUGGUUAGGCUGAGGUAGGAAGGACCGCCCUAAGUGUGGGCUGCACCUUUCCAGGUCUGCGGGACAGCCUUGAAUAAAACAGAGUGUGAGCUUAGUGCCAGCACCCUUGUCUCU